rnacentral:rRNA from 1 species
AUGAACGCUGGCGGCGUGCUUCACACGUGCAAGUCGAACGAAGCACUUUAUUUGAUUUCCUUCGGGACUGAUUAUUUUGUGACUGAGUGGCGGACGGGUGAGUAACGCGUGGGUAACCUGCCUUGUACAGGGGGAUAACAGUUGGAAACGGCUGCUAAUACCGCAUAAGCGCACAGCAUCGCAUGAUGCAGUGUGAAAAACUCCGGUGGUAUAAGAUGGACCCGCGUUGGAUUAGCUAGUUGGUGAGGUAACGGCCCACCAAGGCGACGAUCCAUAGCCGAACUGAGAGGGUGACCGGCCACAUUGGGACUGAGACACGGCCCAAACUCCUACGGGAGGCAGCAGUGGGGAAUAUUGCACAAUGGGCGAAAGCCUGAUGCAGCGACGCCGCGUGAGCGAAGAAGUAUUUCGGUAUGUAAAGCUCUAUCAGCAGGGAAGAUAAUGACGGUACCUGACUAAGAAGCACCGGCUAAAUACGUG